rnacentral:misc_RNA from 1 species
UUUGCUUUAAUUUAAUCAUAGACUUAGACAUACGACACGAUUUAUUCAGGGUUUAGGGUUGGCCAUCGGCGGACGCGGGCCAGAGGACGCCUUGCAGCGGUCCUCCGGCGGCCGUGAGGCGGGUCCGCCGAAGCAACAGAGGUCCAAUAAACAUAGGGUUGGGAGGUCGGGCCUGAAGACCCUAACUCGUUAAUGAUCCUUCCGCAGGUUCACCUACGGAAA